CACCAGCUUCAAACAUCCCCAGGAUAGGAACUCAUCUUGAGAUGAUCUUGGAAUGAGCAAGACAAUUGCUCUACUGGGAAAAACUCAUUGACCAGUGACCAUUUUCAAUGUUGCCUUCAUAUGACUCGUCAGACAACCUCUCCCAAGACAAAGACCCCAUGAAGAUCAAAGAGCUAAUAAAUAAGGUGUGCCCCCUGCCCUA